rnacentral:lncRNA from 1 species
CUUAACCUAGGUUUAUUACACUAGGAUCAUUAUUCUUUCCAACCUAGGUUCACUUGACUCUAGGUUAAGUACUUUUCAUUUCACGACCUAUGUUUAUUAACACUAGGUUAGAUGCCACUCGAUCUAUUUGAUUCUAGGUCUACUCACAACCUAUGCUCCUUAACACUAAGUUAGAUGCCACUCGAUCUAAUUCACAUACUAAUUGUCCAAUUAAGCAUUCUACUCAUUCUAGAGUUAUCAAUUCUCAUUUUCCAAUGUUAUCUCUCUAUUCAAGCUAGAGUUAUCAACCAAGUUCAUAUGCAUAUAUAAUCUCACAAUGCUAAGCAUGCAUCUAUGAUCUCAUAAUGCUAAUCAUGCGUUUAUAAUCUCAUAUAUUAUUUAUAUGCAUCUACUUAGCAUUUACAUCAUACUAUAAACAUGCAUCUUAUAACUUGCUCAUUAUGCAUUCUAGCAUUUCUACAUUACAUUAUUUAGCAUUAUGUAACUUGCUCAUAAUGCAUUCUAGCAUUUCUACAUUACAUUAUUUAGCAUUAUGUAACUUGCUCAUAAUGCAUUCUAUUUAGCAUUUACAUCAUACUAUCAACAUGUAUUAUUUAGCUACAUGCAUC